CUCGUAGCUCAGGGGAUAGAGCACGGCUCUCCUAAAGCCGGUGUCGCAGGUUCGAAUCCCAUUCGAUUCCA
rnacentral:tRNA from 1 species